rnacentral:lncRNA from 1 species
UUUUGUCCGCGCAGCCGCGGGGAGCUGCCCGGCCCUGGACACCCCAUGGGAGCAGGUACGUUUGAUGUCAUCGAUGACAUCAUUCCCCCGCCCCAAUUUUGGUGAUGACAUCACACCCAGCUCACCUUGAGCCCUGAAAACACUCGGGAUGGCUGAAAAAUUGGGAUGAGGGUGGAGGGGACGGGAAUGGGGGAGGGGAGACACUCACCCCCCCCCCUUCCCCCCUCCCCCCUUCGCUUUCCCACAGGUGGCACGAGCCGAGGGCGGGGCCGGAGAUGUGCCCCCGCUCGGAUGGAUCCCGCGGCCUCGUGUCACAAGUUCAAUGAAAUCGAUAUUUUUGUUCAAUAAAAUGGAUAUUUUUGAUACAAAA